rnacentral:rRNA from 1 species
UUUUUUAAUUGGGGACUGGAAUGAAAGGUAGAUACUGAAAGGACGGUUUUUUUAAAAAAUUUUGAAUUUAAUUUAAAAGUAAAAAAGCUUUUAUUAAUCCUUGGGACGAGAAGACCCUAGAAGUUUUUAAUAGGUGAGAUCUAUUUUAAUUGGGGCAAUUAUUGAAGAUUUAAAUUUUUAAUAUAAUUAAUUAUAGUAAAUAAAUUACUCUAGGGAUAACAGCGUAAUUUAAUUUAUGAGUUCUUAUUAAAAGUUAAGUUUGCGACCUCGAUGUUGAAUUAAAA